GUACUUGCUUUGGUAGCACAUAUACUAAAAUUGGAAUGAUACAAAGAUUAGCAUGGCCCCUAUGCAAGGUUGACAUACAAAUUCAUGAAGCGUUCUAUACUUUU
rnacentral:snRNA from 1 species